AUUGAACGCUGGCGGCAUGCUUUACACAUGCAAGUCGAACGGUAACAGGUCUUCGGAUGCUGACGAGUGGCGAACGGGUGAGUAAUACAUCGGAACGUGCCUAGUAGUGGGGGAUAACUACUCGAAAGAGUAGCUAAUACCGCAUGAGAUCUACGGAUGAAAGCAGGGGACCUUCGGGCCUUGUGCUACUAGAGCGGCUGAUAGCAGAUUAGGUAGUUGGUGGGGUAAAGGCUUACCAAGCCUGCGAUCUGUAGCUGGUCUGAGAGGACGACCAGCCACACUGGGACUGAGACACGGCCCAGACUCCUACGGGAGGCAGCAGUGGGGAAUUUUGGACAAUGGGCGAAAGCCUGAUCCAGCAAUGCCGCGUGCAGGAUGAAGGCCCUCGGGUUGUAAACUGCUUUUGUACGGAACGAAAAGCCUGGGGCUAAUAUCCCCGGGUCAUGACGGUACCGUAAGAAUAAGCACCGGCUAACUACGUG
rnacentral:rRNA from 1 species